CGACUGCGUCGUGCUAUGACCGGACUUUUUCUUGAAAGGGGAUGACAGCAUGGGAGGCAAUGGCUCCACAUGUAAACCCGACACUGAAAGACAAGGCACUCUCUCCACAGCAGCCCCAACAACUAGCCCUGCACCCUGUCUCUCUAACCACCACAAGUAAAUGAGCAUUCUCCUAUCUGUUUCAUCUUGUACCACGUGGGAUUUGAUGUUGUGCUGACAGCCUCGGCUUGGGGAUUUGGGCAGGGAGACUGGGGAGAAAGGACUAGAAACAGUAAAAGAACAAAGUCAGUUUGUGAUCUCAGGAGUAUGGCUCUUAAUUUGGCAUCCCCUAAGCUUCAAGAGAUCCAUGGAUCCCCUAAGCUUAUAGCAAAAAACAUUUAAUCCUUGCCUUUUGUGCUGGGGUUCUACUGACACUGCUGCUGAUAGCCUUUAUCUUCCUCAUCAUAAAGAGCUACAGAAAAUAUCACUCCAAGCCCCAGGCCCCAGAUCCUCACUCAGAUCCUCCAGCCAAGCUUUCAUCCAUCCCAGGGGAAUCACUUACCUAUGCCAGCACAACUUUCAAACUCUCAGAAGAAAAGAGCAAUCACUUGGCUGAGAACCAUUCUGCAGACUUUGACCCCAUUGUCUAUGCUCAAAUUAAAGUAACAAACUAACUCAGCUUUUCCAAUGAGGCUUGAAUCCAUUUCCUCUCAUCUCAGCCCUAUCUUCACACAUCACUUUCACUUUUUUACAAAUUUUGGACCACCACCUGUGUGAAACUGCAGUCGGAGUUGUUUAGAUGUGAUCUGGCAAUGCUAUCCAGCAUCUUUGGAGACCAAUGGUCAGUCUUUUCCUGGCCAGAGGAAAGAUUGAUGGCCCUCCCACUUGAACUGACAGCCUGUGAGCCCCUUGGGGGCAUAGACUGCCUUCCUUGGACCCUUCCAAAGUGUGUGGUACAGAGCUCAGUGCACAGAGUAUUCACCCAGCAUCAUGAAUCAACUUGGGAGGAGUCAACCAAAUGAACAAUCUACC
rnacentral:lncRNA from 1 species